CGAUAAAUCAGCAUACAACUAAUAUGGUUAUUAGCAGAAACAGAUCAUGUAUCCGUGUCCAAUUUCAGUUGCUCCGUUGUUUAUCUGCAUCUUAUUAACCAUAUUCUCGUGAUGUAGUAAUGAUCAAGCAGACUUCACCAGUGAUGUUUCCAUCAACUGCGGCCCAACUGCAGCUUCAGCGGGAAGCAACGGUCGUCAACGGCCAUCCGUCAGUUUAGUUCUGCUGAUCCAAUUCCCCACAAGACGGCGAGAAUUUCCGGCUCACAAUUCUCAUAUGCAUUUCAAAUCAAUGCGGGUAAGAAAAUUAUCCGCCUUCACUUUAAUCCCACUCCAUACAUAGCGAUACUUUAUUAGCGUUGAAGCAUGCCCUUUUACCUUGCUUAGUAAUUUUAGUGCUUCACUUACUGCUGAUGCUCUUUGUGUGAGUACUUUUGCUAAGAAUUCUGCAAUAAUAGCUGUAAUAUCUGCAUUGAGUAUCAUUCUGCGGGAGAUUUGGGAAGCUAGGAGCAGUGAGGACGAACACAAGCUGAAAUCCAAUUAGCCAAUAGAAACUCCGAUGGCAGAUAAGAUUUAGGGGUUUUAGAGGAGGAGCGUCUUUGGUCAAGUUGGGCUGUCGAUAAGAUUAAUAAAGGAGAAGUUGAUCAGAUUGUAGAUUCAAAUUUAAGGGAGGAAAUCUAGCCAAAGAGUUUGAAGACAUUUAUUUAUGGAGGUUGCUGAAAGAUGCUUGCGUGAUGAACCAAAGUGUCGGCCAACAAUGUCUCAAAUUGUGGUACAACUUGAGUUUGCACUAGAGCAGCAAGAGAGCAAAGAACAAUCUGAUGCGCCAGAUAUAUUUGAUCAUGUUGCUAAUGAUGUGUAUCCAUCUAAUGAAGACAAUAUAUCCUCCGAAAAUGCUGAGUAACGGGGAGAAGCCUCUACUGAGGUGGAUACAUUUACAUCUAUUUUCAAUACAAUGCGUGAUUCUCGAGCUGACAAAGGAGAUGGGAAGAAACCGAAAGCACAUAGCCUAUUAAGAUUCUGGAUAUGGGGUGUCUUUAGGAAAAGAAUUAAUAAGCUUAAUAUCAGGUAGACAGGUAUGCAUUCAUUCUGUCAAGAUAGAUUUCAACUAUUCUGCAUCAUAUUGUGGGGUUUCAGUCGUUCCUUGCUGACUUUACCAUGGCUUGAUCUCAAUGAGUUCCAAAAUGAGAUAUUUCUGACUUCCAGAAUGGACCACCAAAACAUCGUUAAUCUACUUGGAUACUGCACUCCUGAAAAUGGAGAGGCGAUGUUACUCUAUGAUUACAUGGCUCAAGCCAAUUUAUUUGACCAUCUCUUCAAGUCCGGAAAUUCCUCAUUGUCAUGGAAACAAUGCCUUCAAAUUUGUAUAGACGCUGCCAAGGGAUUAGAGUAUCUUCAAACUGGGUGUGAGUACCCCAUCAUCCACCGAGAUGUUAAGCCCACCACCAUCCUGCCACCCAUGGUGAAAGUCAUGUCUGAUGUAUACUCAUUCGGUGUGGUGUUGUUUGAAGUUUUAUGUGGUAAGCCAGCAAUAUAUAUGAGCUCAAGCUUGGCGUCCAGGGUUGAAGUAUUUUUGAAGCAAGGAAAACUGGAAGAAAUAAUUGAUCCUAAUCUUAAUGGCCAAAUUGAUCCCGGAUGCUUUAAGAUAUUUACUGAAACAGCCAUUGCAUGCCUGAAUCUCCGAGGGAAUGAUCGGCCAGCAAUGAGAGAUGUUGUACAUAAUUUGGAGUUGGCUAUGGAAGCUCCAAGCAGCUGGUGAUGGCGGCGGCUUCAUUACGUUUGAGCUUGGAUCUGGGCCAGAUGCAGGGAAUACACUUUUGGUGAUGAACUAGUGUUUCCAUCAUCUAUUUCUUGGAGCUGCAUUGCUGACUCCAGGCUCCGAAUGACAUCCCUCAUGGUUGGCCUAUCAACCCCAAAGUCACUGAGGCAUGCUACGGCUGUUUCGGCAAACUUGUUCAAGCACUUGGGCCCAAUCUGGCCAUUGAGAUUGGGAUCAACAAUCUGUUCAAGUUUCCCUUCCAUGAAACAUGAUGUAGCCCAUUUUCCCAAGUUCACUUGCUCUCUUGUUAGCACGUGGUCUACUGCUGGCCUUGCACAUAAAACUUCAAACAACACCACCCCAAAUGAGUACACGUCGGUCUUUUCUGUCAAUUGCUGUCGCCUAAAGUACUCCGGAUCCAGGUAGACAGUUGUGCUGUCUGAAUCUGAAGAGUGUAGUUUUGACAGGCGAAAAACAUGUAUCUUGGCGACCCAUUCCUCAUCUAGUAGAAUAUUCACAGACUUGAUGUCGCGGUGGAUGAUGACUUGCUCAGCGCCACUGUGAAGAUAGUUCAAUGCUUUCGCGGUGUCCACACAUAUCUGGAGGCGUCGCUUCCAUGUUAAGGGGGGAUUUCUUGAAUUGUAGAGAUGAUCGCGUAACGUGCCGUGUGCCAUGUAAUUGUGGACUAAGGCCAUCUCCCCUUUCUCAUUGCAAUACCCGAUCAGUGAUACCAAGUUAUGGUGCCUCAGCUUUGACCAGAAAUGGAUUUGGGUGAGGAGUUCACUGGCUGCUUCCAAGGUUGAUGAAUUCAGUCUUUUAAUUGCCACAAUGGUGGCCCCUUUAUCAAUCAGCCCUUUAUACACCUUCCCGAAUGCUCCCAUGCCGAUGACAAAAUCAUCGUUGAAGUCCUGAGUUGCUGUUUUGAUCUCAUGGAGUGAGAAGUAUCUGCAUGGAUUUGAGAAUUGAUUGGCAGCAGCUGCAAAAUCACUCAGAUCAUAGUUCCACGAAUUUGCUGCAAUAUAAUUACACAAUGAAUAAUUUUGAAAAAUGUUAUUGAAAAUGCAGCAUGACAGAGUGAGUAUCCACCUGGUGCUAAGCAGAUUUCCUGUGAGUCAGAUGGAAUAUCCCGGCGCCAAAAGGCACGCCAUGCCCGGCAUGGGUUAUACUUGUUUGGUUUCCUCAAAUCUUUACUAGUAGCUGGAGCGUAAUUCAAAUCAGUGAGUUUGGUUUGAGGAUAUUUAACAGUCUGCAUAUCUGCGUAGGCUUCUGCUAAUUGCCCAGGGCUUUCAGAUGAUAUCUUAAUGUCUUCUUUCGCUGGAUUUCUGGUCUCCUGCUGCUCAAGUGCAAACUCGAGAUGCUGAACAACUUGGGACAUUGUUGGUCGAAACUUGGGUACAUCAUGCAAGCACUUUUCUGCAACCUCCACAAACGUCUUCAAGCUGUUGGGUAGAAUCUCCUCUCUCAGACUUGAAUCUAUUAUCUCAUUAGCAUCUCCUUUACUAAUCUUAUCAAGAACCCACGUGGUUAGACACCGCUCAUCGUUUGAAACCAUUGAAUCUAUAGCUGGUCUACCACAUAAUGUCUCAAACAACACCACACCAAAGGCAUAUGUGUCACUUUUGGUUGUUAACCUUUGGGUGGUCAUAUAAUAGGGGUCGAAGUACCCAAAUGUGCCCUUAACCUUUGUACUAACAUGGCUCUGCAACUUGCUCCUGUCUUCACGUUUUGCUAAACCAAAAUCCGAGACCUUAGCUAUGAAAUUUUCAUCCAGCAGGAUGUUAGAAGGCUUUACAUCGCGGUGAAUGAAUCCGUGGCUUGUGUGGAGAUAGUCUAGACCUCGACCAGCUUCUAUGCAGAUAUUGAGGCGCUGCUUCCACGUGAGAGAGCUACAAUUUCUGUUCCUCCGGGCAUUUCUAUAGAGAUGGUCAGCUAGUGUACCGUUGGGCAUAUGCUCGUACACAAGAAUCAUUUCUUUCCGCUCCCUGCAAUAGCCAAUUAGGGGGACGAGAUUGAUAUGUUGGAGCUCAGAAAGUGCCUCGAUCUCAGUCAAAAACUCGCGUACUCCUUGCUUGGAAUUCGAUUUCAACCUCUUUACAGCAACAGUUUUUUGCCCGUUAUCAAUGAGGCCUUUGUAGACUUUACCAAAUCCACCCUGUCCAAUGAGAUGUCCCUCGUGGAAGUUUUCCGUUGCUGAUUGAAUUUCGCGUAGUGGAAAAUAGCGAAAGAGGCGUUCGGCCCUGUCUGAUGGCCUAAUUUCUUCAUCAGCGCUGCUAGCUCCCCAGAUGUGUUUCAACUUAUAAACUGUGAUAUUUACCAGAGAUGCUAUAGUUAUUGCAACAGUUGCAGUUGCAUUUAUGUGACCAAGAAGAGAGAGCAAAUAUCGGAUGGUCGUUGAUGGUGGAUCCUGAUCAGGCGGAGGCAGGGGAUUCAGACUGGCCAGACUAUUGUCAGGGUUGCUCAACUUAACUAUCUCAAAUCCUGCAAGAACACCAUGUCCAUAUCUGAGUUCAUCAUAUGAUUGAAUGGAGAUCAAGAUAUCACGUUUGCCAUCCGUUUUGAGCCCUCGCAUCAUCACAAUGUAGUCCCUAUGCAGGACAAGAUGAUUCCCAUUGCUUGCUGUCAGUAUGUCACUAUUAGUUUGUGCAAUCAUGUCAUUGAUGAGGACCUUGAAUCUCAGCUCACCACUUCCUGCAAUCUUGAGUCCGACGUCCGAGAAAUGAAGCCUCACCAGGUACCUGAAUCCCAACGCGACCGGUAUUUUCCAGCUACUGCUCUUCUUCUUCUCUACUUGUUGCGUUGCCCACUUGGGGAACACGGAAUCCGAAUCUCCGUAAGACGACUGUUUAAUACUUCGCCUCUCGAUUAUCUCAAGUGCAGUCUCGUUAUCAACAUAGAUCAUAGACUUCUCACCAACAACUUGGAGUCCAAUAUCUCCACUGUCAAAGUAAGAAAGAGCGGUUGGUACUGCAGCAAUCUCAAUGCCAUUUACGAAAGCAUACGUAUCUUGUGAUCGACUUGUUUCAGGGUAGAAAGUUAUGGUGAGCUGUUCAUUCCCUUGCACGGUCAAACAGAAUUCCGUGGCGAAAGUAUUCGCAGCAAUAAGCGAGGCGCUGAAGUUGCUAAGCAAGGUAAAACUACCGGAUUGAACGGUGAACAAGUCCUUGAAUCCUCUAAAACCUUGAUACUUAGAGGGAUUAAAGUGAAGGCGGAUGAUUUUCUGACCUGGAUCGACUUGAAACGAGUAGGAAAACCGGGAACGCGAGAUUCUAGCCGUCGUGUGGGGAACAGGAUCAUCCAAGAUCAAGUAAUUGGUAGCCGUCGAGGUGGUUGACUUGCCAGUUAGUUGCAGCAAGGAAAAGAGUUCCGGUUGGGCGUCUCCGAGCCAUUGUCGGCCGUUGCGCGCUGCAGAAGCUCUAGCUGAGCCGCAGUUUAUUGAAACAUCACCCGUGAAUUGAGUCGAACUAGUGCUGCCUAUUGUGGAUGGGAUGAGGAAGUAGGCAAAUAGCAAAAGGAUUGAAAUUGGACACAGAUUCAUGUCUGAGGAGAAUGUGGCGAAGAAUGAUGAAUGAAGACUUUCCACUGUCAACUCCAUGCAAUAACAUAUUGGAAAAAAAUAACUAGAAGAAAAGUAGUUGUAGUUGGCGCGUUGUUACGUUGUUGAAUGUAUCUUAUUUGAUAAACGGUGGUUGUAUAAUUUUUCGUCGAAUCUCCUGCGUAGUUUGCUUGGAAUUUCCAAUAUUUUCAAGUGUACAAUACCUGGUGUUAUUAUUAUAAGGGAGCUUGGGGUUAGAGUAUUUUGGUAAA